GUUUUAGUAGUUUAUAGAAAACACUGGUCUUGUAAAUCAGAAAAAAGAUAAUUUUACUUCUAAAACU
rnacentral:tRNA from 1 species